GUUUUUGUGUGUCACACCAUCUGAGCAUUCAUAGUGAGCACCUUUUACAGAUGCACGUCUCCAUCGACAAGCAGGCUCAUGUUUUUUUCCACUGCUGCCUGCAGGUGUGGAGCUAAGCAAGGAGCGAACCAAAGGAAGCCACAGUAAGGAAGGUUAGUAAGUGGAGCCAUUUGAAGAGGGAUACAGUGUGAAUGAGACACAUAAAAAAAUGUUUGGACUGCUUAUAGACCACAGCUUAUUGUGAUGACUUCUGGGAUUGGAAAAAGGAUGGAUAUUGUCCAGGCAAGAAGACAUUCCCUGUUGACCUCUCCUGUUCUCUGCGACCCUCUCCCCAGAGGCCUGUUUCAGCAAAUCGAAAAAAUGCAGAGGCCCGGCAGACUGGAGGGGGUCCACCACCUGCAGCCCUCACAGAGGCUGAGGAGAUGGCCCUCAGCCAACAGAGUAUGCGUCCUGUGGCUGAGGGCAUUCCUGGGGGGAGCUCCUCUGAUCCCCCCCACCCCCUAGGAUAGAAGUGCGAGUUACUGAUGGCGUCAUCGCCCUACUUGAACCAGAUGCCCUCACCAACCUCCAUGCAAUUGUAACAAUUCAAAAGAUGCAAAAGGAUGCUUUGGAGAUCCAAAUUUUGGAACAUAAGCUAUAGGUGGGUGAGGUGCAAACUGGGAUACUGUUCCCUGCUCUAAAAACAUACCCAAUAUAAAUGACUUUUUUUUUUUUGUGCUUUCAGGAAAUAAAAAAAUCCUCAUAAUAAGUAGAUUGUCUUUAUUAGAACACGGGCUGUGGUGGGACAAGUUAUUUUGUUGAACAGUUUACUCAAAGGGUUUUACUUCAGUGAACAAUGCAGACGAUUAUGCUGAGCAUGUGCAUGUAGAGAAGAACAGCAUCUGGUUAAAAGCAGUACCAGGGUCUUUUCUGCCUUGCAUUCUUAAAAUGAGUUUCUUGACUUGAAGCAGUUAUAGGUCCGUGGUUAGUC
ensembl:lncRNA